AGGACGAACGCUGGCGGCGUGCUUAACACAUGCAAGUCGAGCGGAAAGGCCCUUCGGGGUACUCGAGCGGCGAACGGGUGAGUAACACGUGAGCAACCUGCCCUUGGCUCUGGGAUAGCCUCCGGAAACGGGGAUUAAUACCGGACAUUCACUUUCUCCUGCAUGGGGGUUGGUGGAAAGUUUUUCGGCCAGGGAGGGGCUCGCGGCCUAUCAGCUUGUUGGCGGGGUAACGGCCCACCAAGGCGACGACGGGUAGCCGGCCUGAGAGGGCGAUCGGCCACACUGGGACUGAGACACGGCCCAGACUCCUACGGGAGGCAGCAGUGGGGAAUAUUGCACAAUGGGCGCAAGCCUGAUGCAGCGACGCCGCGUGGGGGAUGAAGGCCUUCGGGUUGUAAACCCCUUUCACCAGGAGCGAAUUCAGACGGUACCUGGGAAGAAGCGCCGGCUAACUACGUGCCAGCAGCCGC
rnacentral:rRNA from 1 species